rnacentral:lncRNA from 7 species
ACUGAACUGAUCUUUUAAUCCACCCUUACAUGCUCUCACAGUUAAAUCAGCACCAUCUGAUUAUUUCUGGAUGGGAAAACAGAAAAGAAAGAAACCUUGGAUGCUUUUAAUUAAUGUCUUCCCUCUCAGCAAUACAAGUGAGCUUGUCUGAAGGCUUAAUUUCAAGUUUACCCAUAUUAAGUCAACUAAGGAGCUCAGUCAGAUUUCCACAGUCAUGCCAGCGCCUAAGUGAAAACCAAAAACAGCCAGAAUGCUCCUCUGUUUCUGUUCAUUUCUAACGGAGAGUGAGGAAGCACCAUCUGCUUUCUACUAUUUUCAGGCAUUGCUCAAGAGCAAGAAAGCUUUUUCAGCACACAGAUCUUGAAUUAUAAAGGAAGACGUUGCUGGAGCCAUGCCGAGGUAGUUUGCCUUUUGAAAGUCAGGGUCUUUUGCAUUAACAAAUUGAGCAAAUGGAGAUACAAAAUCAUCUGCCGCAGAAUUGGAACACCUGCACCUUGGCCAAUAACUGCUGCCUCUAAAAAAAAGAGCAUUCUCAUCAGUGUUUGGGAUUAUGCUCAGCUCCCUUUACAAAGCUGCAUUCUCUUUGCAUAAAUUUCAAAAAGAAUAUCUCAUAGAAGAAGAUUCUGCUGCUUCAACUUCUUCUGUUCUCUCAUUCUCUGUCUUUUUCUGAGUUUUUUCUGAGCCUCUGUGAUGUCUGAAGUCUUCAUGCUUUCAUUUGCAUCCUCCUGAGAAGACCAAACGUUUCCCUCCAUCACACAUCAGAAGUCAAGGUACCAAUGUUCUGGUAGUUCUCUUGCUGCUCACCGCUUCCUGCUAAAAGCAUUGGAAUUGUUCUCAAAUAGCUGAUAAAUGCAAGUGCCAAAAGAAAGUAAGGGGGAUAGAAAAGGGAAAAAUAUGUACAUAUAAAAAUAGGAAAGAGGACAUACAGGCUAUGAAUUAAUCAAAUUAAAUUAUAUUCCCUGUUGCAUCUCUGGGAGGAAAGAGAGCUACUGGUGUUCCAGUAGCUGCUAUUUCAUUAAAAGCUAUUCUGUUUUUUUCCCAAAGCUUUUAAAGUGGAGAGAUCGAGAUUGAAAGCUGACCAGCCAUUAAAAGCUGCUUUUAUUUUUUCUCU